GCGCUGACUGGGUUGAGCCUGGGGCUUUCUCUGUUGCAAAAGUGCACCCUCCUCAGAUGGGGAUGGGGAGUGGCCUUCACUAGGGUGGUCCUCCUGGCUGAGCAGGGCCGGCCCAGGGGAGGGCGGGGCCAGCACGUCCCCAGAACAGUGCCUGUCCAGGGGCACAAGGGUUCACUGAAGACUCAGGAGAGGGGUUUAGAGCACAGCCUCCCUCUCCAGGGUCAGGUUCACGGGAGCUGUUGGGGGCUCCUUCCCUCGCAGCAGUGACCACUCCAAGGACCACGGCCUGGACAUGAGCGGCAGCGGAGUCUAGAUGAAUAUAGGCAGCAGCCAAAGGCCACAGUCACGACAAACCUACACACUCUCACCACUGUCAUCUCAUAUUGUCCUAAAAUUUCCAGCCAGUGCAAAAAAACAUGAAAAAGAAAAAAUACAGCCAUUGGAAAAGAGGAAAAGUAAUUGUUAUUAGCUGAUGAUGUGAAUGUCUUCCUGAAAACCUUAAGAGAACCAACUGGAAAACAACCAGAAAUGAGAGCAUGGAGUUAGGCAACCGCCGAUCUGCUUUCUGUCACUUGGGCGAGUUUUUCCCGUCCUGGGAUUUCAUAUCUCUGGAAUCCUGCAGUACGUAGCCCUCUGUCUGGCUUCCUCGCUCCGUGUAAUGUUCUUGAGAUUCAUCCAUGCAGCUGUGUAUACCUGCAGUGAUUGUUUCUCUUGUUGAAUUGCUGAGAAGGGUUCCAUCGUAUGCCUUUUCCAGUUUAUUUGUUCAUCUGUUGUUAGACAUUUGAGUUAUUUCCAGCUUGGGACUCUUAUGAACAAAACUGCUAUAAACAUGCAUAUUCAAGUCUUUGUGGAUAUGUGCUUUCUUUUGUCCUGGAUAAAUGUCUCCACGUGGGCUUCCUGGGUCUCACGGUAAGUGUAUGUUUCGCUUUCUGUACCGCUUUACAUUCUCAUCUUCCUCAUUCCCCGUUUCCCCGAUGACUAAGGACGUCAGCAACUGGUAUGGUCUGGAUCCUUGUCCUGGCCCAAAUCUCAUGUUCAGUUGUGAUCCCCAGUGUUGGAGGUGGGACCUGGUGGAGGUGACAGGAUCGUGGGGGUGGAUUUCCCCCUUGGCUACUGUUGUCACAAUAGUGAGUUAGUUCUCGUGAGAUCUUGUUGUUUAAAAGUGUGUAGCGCCUCCCAUCCAUCUCUCUUCCUCCUCCUCUGGCCAUGUGACGUGCCGGCUCCCCCUUCACCUU
rnacentral:lncRNA from 10 species